UACGAAGGGGGCUAGCGUUGCUCGGAAUGACUGGGCGUAAAGGGCGCGUAGGCGGAGUGCUUUGUCAGGCGUGAAAUUCCAGGGCUUAACCUUGGGGCUGCGUUUGAGACGGGCAUUCUUGAGUAUGGAAGAGGGUCGUGGAAUUCCCAGUGUAGAGGUGAAAUUCGUAGAUAUCGGGAGGAACACCAGUGGCGAAGGCGGCGACCUGGACGGACAUUGACGCUGAGACGCGAAAGCGUGGGGAGCAAACAGG
rnacentral:rRNA from 1 species